rnacentral:rRNA from 1 species
GAAACUUAAAGGAAUUGGCGGGGGAGCACCACAAGGCGUGAAGCUUGCGGUUCAAUUGGAGUCAACGCCGGGAACCUUACCGGGGGCGACAGCAGUAUGAAGGCCAGAUUGAAGGUCUUGCUAGACAAGCUGAGAGGAGGUGCAUGGCCGUCGCCAGUUCGUGCCGUGAGGUGUCCUGUUAAGUCAGGCAACGAUCGAGACCCACGCUUUUAGUUGCUACCGAGGAAGUUUUCCGAGGGGCACUCUGAAGGGACUGCCGUCGACAAGACGGAGGAAGGAGUGGGCUACGGCAGGUCAGUAUGCCCCGAAUCCCCCGGGCUACACGCGAGCUGCAAUGGCAGAGACAAUGGGUCCCAACCCUGAAAAGGGACGGUAAUCUCGAAACUCUGCCUCAGUUUGGACUGAAGGCUGGAACCCGUCUUCACGAAAAUGGAAUGCCUAGAAAUCGCGCGUCAUCAACGCGCGGUGAAUACGUCCCCGCUCCUUGCACACACCGCCCGUCGCUCCAUCCGAGUGGGGUUUGGGUGAGGCGUGUUCUUUUUUGGCUGCGUCGAAUCUGAGUUCCGCAAGGAGGGAGAAGUCGUAAACAA